GCAGGCUGCAACCCGCCUGCGUGAAGUCGGAAUUGCUAGUAAUCGCGGAUCAGCAUGCCGCGGUGAAUACGUUCCCGGGCCUUGUACACACCGCCCGUCACACCAUGGGAGCCGGUAACACCCGAAGUCAGUAGCCUGACCAAUUCUGGAGGGCGCUGCCGAAGGUGGGAUUGGUGACUGGGGUGAAGUCGUAACAAGGUACC
rnacentral:rRNA from 1 species